rnacentral:rRNA from 1 species
AGAGAGAGACAUGCGCGCAUAUCAAUAAGCGGAGGAAAAGAAACUAACUAGGAUUCCCUCAGUAACGGCGAGUGAAGCGGGAAGAGCUCAAAUUUGAAAUCUUCAAGGUUCUACCUUGACGAAUUGUAGUUUAAAGAAGUGUUUUCUGUUGGAGUUUUGGUAAAAGUUCUUUGGAAUAGGACAUCAUAGAGGGUGAGAAUCCCGUAUUUGACCAUUAUUUCAGCUGUGUGAUACACUUUCAAAGAGUCGGAUUGUUUGGGAAUGCAGUCCAAAAUGGGUGGUAAAUUUCAUCUAAAGCUAAAUAUUGGCGAGAGACCGAUAGCGAACAAGUACCGUGAGGGAAAGAUGAAAAGAGCUUUGAAAAGAGAGUUAAACAGUACGUGAAAUUGUCAGAAGGGGAAGCGUUUGACACCAGUGUUGUUUUUCUGAAAAUCAAUUAAAAAAGGCAGGAUUUUGUGUUGUAUUGACUUUAUCAGCUUUCUGCACUCUUUUCUUGUCUUUUUUAAUGCACUUUUCGUUUAACAAGUCAACAUCAAUUUCUUUUGUUGUAAAAGGGUCAUUGGAAGGUGGCUUUCUUUUCGGAGAAAGUGUUUAUAGCCUUUGGCCUCUGCAAUCGGAGAGAUUGAGGUCUGCAGCGUAGAUCCUUCGGGGUUAGAUACAUUUGUGCUAAGUUAUAGCCUUUCAUAGACAACUUGUUGACUAUGAUCAGUCAUGUAGCUUACUCGCUUAUGCUAUUUUACCUACGCUUAGGAUGUUGAUGUGAUACUGCGAGCA